CUAGCCAUAUGAAAUCCAGAGAUGUAUGUUGGCUGCAGUAGGUUCAUUGUAGGAAUAUGAUAUGCAUCAAAAUAGGAUCUAUCGAUCUUAGUAGUAAAGAAGUAGUCCAAUAUAAUUUAUGAGAUUGAGUUUAGAAGAUCUUGAUCAAGACAGUGUGAAUAAUGGAAAGGAGUUUUCAUCAGGUUUCACAAAUAAACUCAAGUCGAAUAAAUCUUACAUAUAAUAAACGAUAGAGUUUGAUGA
rnacentral:lncRNA from 1 species